rnacentral:rRNA from 1 species
UACGAGGGGUCCUAGCGUUGUUCGGAAUCACUGGGCGUAAAGCGUAUGUAGGCGGACUUUUAAGUCAGGUGUGAAAUCCCAUGGCUCAACCAUGAAUUGCAUUUGAAACUGAAAGUCUUGAGUGUGGGAGAGAUUGGUAGAAUACCUGGUGUAGUGGUGAAAUACGUAGAUAUCAGGUGGAAUACCGGUGGCGAAGGCGGCAAUUGGCCC